rnacentral:rRNA from 1 species
AGAGUUUGAUCAUGGCUCAGAUUGAACGCUGGCGGCAGGCCUAACACAUGCAAGUCGAGCGGUAGCACAGAGAGCUUGCUCUCGGGUGACGAGCGGCGGACGGGUGAGUAAUGUCUGGGAAACUGCCUGAUGGAGGGGGAUAACUACUGGAAACGGUAGCUAAUACCGCAUAACGUCGCAAGACCAAAGAGGGGGACCUUCGGGCCUCUUGCCAUCAGAUGUGCCCAGAUGGGAUUAGCUAGUAGGUGGGGUAACGGCUCACCUAGGCGACGAUCCCUAGCUGGUCUGAGAGGAUGACCAGCCACACUGGAACUGAGACACGGUCCAGACUCCUACGGGAGGCAGCAGUGGGGAAUAUUGCACAAUGGGCGCAAGCCUGAUGCAGCCAUGCCGCGUGUAUGAAGAAGGCCUUCGGGUUGUAAAGUCUUUCAGCGAGGAGGAAGCAUGUGG